AACUGCGAAUGGCUCAUUAAAUCAGUUAUGAUCUACGUGACAAAUUCUUUACUACUUGGAUAACCGUGGUAAUUCUAGAGCUAAUACAUGCAAAAAAGCCCUGACUUACGAAGGGGUGCACUUAUUAGAUAAAACCAACGCGGGGUAAAACCUGUCUUUUGGUGAAUCAUAAUAAUUAAGCGGAUCGCAUGGCAUUACGCUGGCGACGGUCCACUCGAUUUUCUGCCCUAUCAUGGUUGAGAUUGUAAGAUAGAGGCUUACAAUGCCUACAACGGGUAACGGGGAAUUAGGGUUCGAUUCCGGAGAGGGAGCCUGAGAAACGGCUACCACAUCCAAGGAAGGCAGCAGGCGCGCAAAUUACCCAAUCCCGACACGGGGAGGUAGUGACAAUACAUAACAAUGCAGGGCUUUUAAAGUCUUGCAAUUGGAAUGAGUACAAUUUAAAUCCCUUAACGAGGAUCAAUUGGAGGGCAAGUCUGGUGCCAGCAGCCGCGGUAAUUCCAGCUCCAAUAGCGUAUAUUAAAGUUGUUGCAGUUAAAACGUCCGUAGUCAAACUUUAGUCAUACCGGCGCAGUGGCCUGGUCUUCAUUGACUAGGUUCGUUGCUGCCGGAGACUCCAUGUUCAUUGAUCUCUAGCUUCGGUUAGGGCUUUUUUGAACAAUUACCAUGAGCAAAUCAGAGUGUUUAAAGCAGGCUUUUAAGCUUGAAUGUGUUAGCAUGGAAUAAUGAAAUAUGACUUUAGUCCUAUUUUCGUUGGUUUAGGUACUUCAGUAAUGAUGAAUAGAAACGGUUAGGGGCAUUUGUAUUUGGUCGCUAGAGGUGAAAUUCUUGGAUUGACCGAAGACAAACUACUGCGAAAGCAUUUGACCCGGGACGUUUUCAUUGAUCAAGGUCUAAAGUUAAGGGAUCGAAGACGAUUAGAUACCGUCGUAGUCUUAACCACAAACUAUGCCGACUAGAGAUUGGGCGUGUUUAUUAUGACUCGCUCAGCAUCUUAGCGAA
rnacentral:rRNA from 1 species